rnacentral:rRNA from 1 species
UGUCGUCAGCUCGUGUUGUGAAAUGUUGGGUUAAGUCCCGCAACGAGCGCAACCCUUAUCCUUUGUUGCCAGCGGUCCGGCCGGGAACUCAAAGGAGACUGCCAGUGAUAAACUGGAGGAAGGUGGGGAUGACGUCAAGUCAUCAUGGCCCUUACGACCAGGGCUACACACGUGCUACAAUGGCGCAUACAAAGAGAAGCGACCUCGCGAGAGCAAGCGGACCUCAUAAAGUGCGUCGUAGUCCGGAUUGGAGUCUGCAACUCGACUCCAUGAAGUCGGAAUCGCUAGUAAUCGUGGAUCAGAAUGCCACGGUGAAUACGUUCCCGGGCCUUGUA